rnacentral:rRNA from 1 species
AUUGAACGCUGGCGGCAUGCCUUACACAUGCAAGUCGAACGGUAACAGGUCUUCGGAUGCUGACGAGUGGCGAACGGGUGAGUAAUACAUCGGAACGUGCCCGUGAGUGGGGGAUAACGAGGCGAAAGCUUUGCUAAUACCGCAUACGAUCUCAGGAUGAAAGCAGGGGACCGCAAGGCCUUGCGCUCACGGAGCGGCCGAUGGCAGAUUAGGUAGUUGGUGGGAUAAAAGCUUACCAAGCCGACGAUCUGCAGCUGGUCUGAGAGGACGACCAGCCACACUGGGACUGAGACACGGCCCAGACUCCUACGGGAGGCAGCAGUGGGGAAUUUUGGACAAUGGGCGCAAGCCUGAUCCAGCCAUGCCGCGUGCAGGAUGAAGGCCUUCGGGUUGUAAACUGCUUUUGUACGGAACGAAAAGACUCUGGUUAAUACCUGGGGUCCAUGACGGUACCGUAAGAAUAAGCACCGGCUAACUACGUGCCAGCCGCCGCCGUAAAAC